rnacentral:rRNA from 1 species
AACGAACGCUGGCGGCAUGCCUAACACAUGCAAGUCGAACGAGACCUUCGGGUCUAGUGGCGCACGGGUGCGUAACGCGUGGGAACCUGCCCUUAGGUUCGGUAUAACUCCCCGAAAGGGGUGCUAAUACCGGAUAAUGUCUUCGGACCAAAGAUUUAUCGCCUUUGGAUGGGCCUGCGUUGGAUUAGCUAGUUGGUAGGGUAAAAGCCUACCAAGGCGACGAUCCAUAGCUGGUCUGAGAGGAUGAUCAGCCACACUGGGACUGAGACACGGCCCAGACUCCUACGGGAGGCAGCAGUGGGGAAUAUUAGACAAUGAGCGAAAGCCUGAUCCAGCAAUGCCGCGUGAGUGAUGAAGGCCUUAGGGGUGUAAAGCUCUUUUACCCGGGAUGAUAAUGACAGUACCGGGAGAAUAAGCUCCGGCUAACUCCGUG